UACAGAGGGGGCAAGCGUUAUUCGGAAUUAUUGGGCGUAAAGGGCGCGUAGGCGGCUUUGCAAGUGACGGGUGAAAUCCCUCGGCUUAACCGAGGAACUGCCUGUCAGACUGCAUUGCUUGAGUCCGGGAGAGGUGAGUGGAAUUCCCAGUGUAGCGGUGAAAUGCGUAGAUAUUGGGAGGAACACCAGUGGCGAAGGCGGCUCACUGGACCGGAACUGACGCUGAGGCGCGAAAGCGUGGGGAGCAAACAGGAUUAGAUACCCGAGUAGUCC
rnacentral:rRNA from 1 species